rnacentral:rRNA from 1 species
CAAGACCUUGCGCUUUUGGAGCGGCCGAUGUCUGAUUAGCUAGUUGGUGAGGUAAAGGCUUACCAAGGCGUCGAUCAGUAGCUGGUCUGAGAGGACGACCAGCCACACUGGGACUGAGACACGGCCCAGACUCCUACGGGAGGCAGCAGUGGGGAAUUUUGGACAAUGGGGGAAACCCUGAUCCAGCCAUGCCGCGUGAGUGAAGAAGGCCUUCGGGUUGUAAAGCUCUUUCAGCCGGAACGAAACGGUCACGGUUAAUACCCGUGACUACUGACGGUACCGGAAGAAGAAGCACCGGCUAACUACGUGCCAGCAGCCGCGGUAAUACGUAGGGUGCGAGCGUUAAUCGGAAUUACUGGGCGUAAAGCGUGCGCAGGCGGUUUUGUAAGCCAGAUGUGAAAUCCCCGGGCUUAACCUGGGAACU